GGGUUGUGAGGUUAAGCGACUAAGCGUACACGGUGGAUGCCCUGGCAGUCAGAGGCGAUGAAGGGCGUACUAAUCUGCGAUAAGCGCCGGUAAGGUGAUAUGAACCGUUAUAACCGGCGAUACCCGAAUGGGGAAACCCAGUGUGAUUCGUCACACUAUCAUUAACUGAAUCCAUAGGUUAAUGAGGCGAACCGGGGGAACUGAAACAUCUAAGUACCCCGAGGAAAAGAAAUCAACCGAGAUUCCCCCAGUAGCGGCGAGCGAACGGGGAGGAGCCCAGAGCCUGAAUCAGCAUGUGUGUUAGUGGAAGCGUCUGGAAAGGCGCGCGAUACAGGGUGACAGCCCCGUACACAAAAGCGCAUGUGCUGUGAGCUCGAUGAGUAGGGCGGGACACGUGGUAUCCUGUCUGAAUAUGGGGGGACCAUCCUCCAAGGCUAAAUACUCCUGACUGACCGAUAGUGAACCAGUACCGUGAGGGAAAGGCGAAAAGAACCCCGGCGAGGGGAGUGAAAAAGAACCUGAAACCGUGUACGUACAAGCAGUGGGAGCACANNNNNNNNNNNNNNNNNNNNUACCUUUUGUAUAAUGGGUCAGCGACUUAUAUUCUGUAGCAAGGUUAACCGAAUAGGGGAGCCGGAGGGAAACCGAGUCUUAAUUGGGCGUUAAGUUGCAGGGUAUAGACCCGAAACCCGGUGAUCUAGCCAUGGGCAGGUUGAAGGUUGGGUAACACUAACUGGAGGACCGAACCGACUAAUGUUGAAAAAUUAGCGGAUGACCUGUGGCUGGGGGUGAAAGGCCAAUCAAACCGGGAGAUAGCUGGUUCUCCCCGAAAGCUAUUUAGGUAGCGCCUCGUGAAUUCAUCUCCGGGGGUAGAGCACUGUUUCGGCUAGGGGGCCAUCCCGGCUUACCAACCCGAUGCAAACUGCGAAUACCGGAGAAUGUUAUCACGGGAGACACACGGCGGGUGCUAACGUCCGUCGUGAAGAGGGAAACAACCCAGACCGCCAGCUAAGGUCCCAAAGUCAUGGUUAAGUGGGAAACGAUGUGGGAAGGCCCAGACAGCCAGGAUGUUGGCUUAGAAGCAGCCAUCAUUUAAAGAAAGCGUAAUAGCUCACUGGUCGAGUCGGCCUGCGCGGAAGAUGUAACGGGGCUAAACCAUGCACCGAAGCUGCGGCAGCGACACUGUGUGUUGUUGGGUAGGGGAGCGUUCUGUAAGCCUGCGAAGGUGGCCUGUGAGGGUUGCUGGAGGUAUCAGAAGUGCGAAUGCUGACAUAAGUAACGAUAAAGCGGGUGAAAAGCCCGCUCGCCGGAAGACCAAGGGUUCCUGUCCAACGUUAAUCGGGGCAGGGUGAGUCGACCCCUAAGGCGAGGCCGAAAGGCGUAGUCGAUGGGAAACGGGUUAAUAUUCCCGUACUUGGUGUUACUGCGAAGGGGGGACGGAGAAGGCUAUGUUGGCCGGGCGACGGUUGUCCCGGUUUAAGCGUGUAGGUGUGUGUUCCAGGUAAAUCCGGUUCACUUUAACACUGAGGCGUGACGACGAGGCACUACGGUGCUGAAGCAACAAAUGCCCUGCUUCCAGGAAAAGCCUCUAAGCAUCAGGUAACAUCAAAUCGUACCCCAAACCGACACAGGUGGUCAGGUAGAGAAUACCAAGGCGCUUGAGAGAACUCGGGUGAAGGAACUAGGCAAAAUGGUGCCGUAACUUCGGGAGAAGGCACGCUGACACGUAGGUGAAGUGAUUUACUCAUGGAGCUGAAGUCAGUCGAAGAUACCAGCUGGCUGCAACUGUUUAUUAAAAACACAGCACUGUGCAAACACGAAAGUGGACGUAUACGGUGUGACGCCUGCCCGGUGCCGGAAGGUUAAUUGAUGGGGUCAGCGCAAGCGAAGCUCCUGAUCGAAGCCCCGGUAAACGGCGGCCGUAACUAUAACGGUCCUAAGGUAGCGAAAUUCCUUGUCGGGUAAGUUCCGACCUGCACGAAUGGCGUAAUGAUGGCCAGGCUGUCUCCACCCGAGACUCAGUGAAAUUGAACUCGCUGUGAAGAUGCAGUGUACCCGCGGCAAGACGGAAAGACCCCGUGAACCUUUACUAUAGCUUGACACUGAACAUUGAGCCUUGAUGUGUAGGAUAGGUGGGAGGCUUUGAAGUGUGGACGCCAGUCUGCAUGGAGCCGACCUUGAAAUACCACCCUUUAAUGUUUGAUGUUCUAACGUGGACCCGUUACCCGGGUUGCGGACAGUGUCUGGUGGGUAGUUUGACUGGGGCGGUCUCCUCCUAAAGAGUAACGGAGGAGCACGAAGGUUGGCUAAUCCUGGUCGGACAUCAGGAGGUUAGUGCAAUGGCAUAAGCCAGCUUGACUGCGAGCGUGACGGCGCGAGCAGGUGCGAAAGCAGGUCAUAGUGAUCCGGUGGUUCUGAAUGGAAGGGCCAUCGCUCAACGGAUAAAAGGUACUCCGGGGAUAACAGGCUGAUACCGCCCAAGAGUUCAUAUCGACGGCGGUGUUUGGCACCUCGAUGUCGGCUCAUCACAUCCUGGGGCUGAAGUAGGUCCCAAGGGUAUGGCUGUUCGCCAUUUAAAGUGGUACGCGAGCUGGGUUUAGAACGUCGUGAGACAGUUCGGUCCCUAUCUGCCGUGGGCGCUGGAGAACUGAGGGGGGCUGCUCCUAGUACGAGAGGACCGGAGUGGACGCAUCACUGGUGUUCGGGUUGUCAUGCCAAUGGCACUGCCCGGUAGCUAAAUGCGGAAGAGAUAAGUGCUGAAAGCAUCUAAGCACGAAACUUGCCCCGAGAUGAGUUCUCCCUGAGACUUAAAGUCUCCUGAAGGAACGUUGAAGACGACGACGUUGAUAGGCCGGGUGUGUAAGCGCAGCGAUGCGUUGAGCUAACCGGUACUAAUGAACCGUGAGGCUUAACCUUACAACGCCGAAG
rnacentral:rRNA from 1 species